rnacentral:tRNA from 1 species
GAAAAAGUAAUGCAAGAACUGCUAACUCAUGUUACCACACCUAAUAGUGUGGCUUUUUCA